rnacentral:lncRNA from 1 species
CACAACAAGAGGUGCACGGGUAGCCAAUUCCCUUCGUUUCCCAGAACCCAAAGGGAUCAGCCAUCUGGGCUGCACACCUAGAGAUGAUUCGGGUAUCUGUCCUGAGCGUGCAGUUUCAACAUAGAAUUGUAGGACCUCAUGGCAAAGGUCAACCAGGUAGGACUCCACUUCAGCCUCUUCAUAACUCGGAGGUCUGUCCAGUAUAAGAUUCUGUAAGAGUGUGAGGCAAAUCUGGUAGGACUCAUUCUCAAGGCGUAAUAAUGGGGGAUCUUGCAUCUGUGUCAUGGACCCUAGCUCCUGUAGCUUUGAUCUUAGUAUGGUAUUGCUGUUUAUCUUGUGAGCAUGGGAUGCCACAUCAUGCAUCGCAUUGAAGA